rnacentral:rRNA from 1 species
ACUCAAAGGAAUUGACGGGGGCCCGCACAAGCGGUGGAGCAUGUGGUUUAAUUCGAUGCAACGCGAAGAACCUUACCUACCCUUGACAUCCUUCGAAUCCUGCUGAAAGGUAGGAGUGCCGCAAGGAGCGAAGAGACAGGUGCUGCAUGGCUGUCGUCAGCUCGUGUCGUGAGAUGUAGGGUUAAGUCCCGUAACGAGCGCAACCCUUAUCCUUAGUCGCCAUCAUUGAGUUGGGGACUCUAAGGAGACUGCCGGUGAUAAGCUGGAGGAAGGUGGGGAUGAGGUCAAGUCAUCAUGGCCUUUAUGGGUAGGGCUACACACGUGCUACAAUGGUUGGUACAAAGGGAAGCAAACCUGAGAGGGGGAGCGAAUCUCAAAAAGCCAAUCGUAGUCCGGAUUGGAGUCUGCAACUCGACUCCAUGAAGAUGGAAUCGCUAGUAAUCGCGGAUCAGCACGCCGCGGUGAAUACGUUCCCGGGCCUUGUACACACCGCCCGU